rnacentral:rRNA from 1 species
GACGGAGGGAGCAAGCGUUGUUCGGAUUUACUGGGCGUAAAGGGCGUCUAGGCUGAUUUGAAAGUCAGAUGUGAAACCCCCCGGCUCAACCGGGGAACUGCAUUUGAUACUGCAAGUCUUGAGUACGGAAGAGGAGAGCGGAAUUCCUGGUGUAGCGGUGAAAUGCGUAGAUAUCAGGAAGAACACCGGUGGCGAAGGCGGCUCUCUGGUCCGAUACUGACGCUGAAGCGCGAAAGUGCGGGGAGCGAACAGG